rnacentral:lncRNA from 10 species
CAAAAAUAAUGUGGCUUUGGAAGAACUCAAUACGUGGACAGAUUCUGAGUCAAUAACAAUGUCAUUUAAAACAACUUCUACAAUCAGAAGUGGCCUUCUUUCUUUGUGUCUACAGGAAUAAGAGAAAGAAGAGGUUAAGGAUUUCUUUGACGGAAAGAUGGAAAGAGGUUCAGAGCUGAGCGAUACCUUGGGAAGAAAACACAAUUCAGAAGAACAAACAGUGAAAAGGCUGCAAAAAGAUAUGGGCUACCUGAGGAAAAAAGUUUUCCAAAAGGAAAUGAGAAGGCUAUGAAUUGUAACACAAAAGUUAUCUGUGUCAUAAUUUUGUGCAGAUAGAUCUCAAGUAUUCUCAACCACCAAGCGAUGGACCUCCACAUCCAGAGUUUCCUGCCUAGACCUCAUUAGGAAAUAAGAUGCAGUGGAGAAAACAAGGACAUUAGGGGUGUGUCUACAUCGAGCAUUGUGAAACACUUAAUUAUGGUUAUUUUCUGUGAUCAUGAGAAUUCCAGGUGACACUCCUGUCAACCCAUUAAAAUUUAUGUUGUGACAUUUAGAAUAUCUUAGCUAUGACCUUUUUCCCAGGAUCAUUUCUCCCCAUCUCUUCCCAAAAUAUCCAAAACUAAUUACAAAAGGCCCUAACACACUUUUUUAAAGAUUUGGAGUCUUCAUUGGAUUCUCCCACAGUGAUCAUGGGUUUUUCAUAUUGAAAUAUAAACCUGGCCUAACUGCCAAAGAUAUUUAAUGUGAAUAUCUGAAAAAUAUUGAAUAGUGGCAACAACUGGGAACGUUGGGAAUGUGUCUAAUUAUAACACUUUAAUGUAAGCCCAGGUAUAGGCAUCAGAAAGCACCAGCUAAUUUACCUACUGCUUCAUUUUCUGUGCUAAGUGCUUGAUUUUAGCACUUCCAUCUUAUAGGAUCUUACUUGGUUUCAGAAGGAGUCUCUGUUUUGUAGAGAAAAGUUACUGUUUGAAGCUGUGCUGACUCUCUUAUGAAUCUCUGGUCCCAGAAAACAGAAAUGACAGAGAUCACAGGGAAGAGGAUGAUAUAAAAGCUAACAAAACUGAUUGCUUACAAUACUUCAGGCUCUGUGCUGUGAUUUUGAAACACAGUGUCUCAUUCAAUCCUCAAAACAAUUAUGUGAGGUAGGUAAUGUAAUUAUUUGCAUUUUACAGAUAAGGAAACUGAGGAUAAGCCAGGCUAAAUUAAUUUUACAAGGUCACACAGUUUUAAGUGACAGAACUCGAACUCAAGCAAAGAUCCAUCUGAAGCUUGAAACAAUAUACUGAAAUAGUAGAUCUCAUAAGACAAAAUAAUUCAAUUAAAUUUUAGGACCUGGAUAUGGUACUGCUAUAAGUGGACCACAAAGAGGUCAUCUCCUAAAGCAUACUAGCUACACCUAGUUAUGUAAAACCUAACCUAGACUACCCACACAGAUGCUGGGUAUGGCUGACAGUCAUGAUCCAGCUCUUCAGAGCACUACAUAAUGAAGUUGCAACCUCCUUCAGGAGCUUUUUUCCUCCCCUUACAUGUUCCUAUAUUAUAUUUUUAUAGAUACCUCAUUGUAGGACUUUGCCUAUUCCGUAUGUUCCCACCCAUUAAGGAUAAAAAUCUGCCCAUGAAAAAGUUAAGGAGUAAAAGAAAAUAAAUCUCAAAUUCUUACACUAAAAUUUGCAAAUCAACAAUAUGUAAUUUUCAUUAAGCUAAGGACCUAUUUACACUUCUUUUAUUAGGUUGGUGCAAAAGUAAUCCGGGUUUUUGCUAUUAUUUUUAAAAGCAUUAUUAAGCAU